GACGAACGCUGGCGGCGUGCUUAACACAUGCAAGUCGAACGGAAAGGCCCUGCUUGCAGGGUACUCGAGUGGCGAACGGGUGAGUAACACGUGGGCGAUCUGCCCUGCACUUCGGGAUAAGCCUGGGAAACUGGGUCUAAUACCGGAUAGGAGCCAUUUUUAGUGUGAUGGUUGGAAAGUUUUUUCGGUGUAGGAUGAGCUCGCGGCCUAUCAGCUUGUUGGUGGGGUAAUGGCCUACCAAGGCGGCGACGAGUAGCCGGCCUGAGGGGGUGGACGGCCACAUUGGGACUGAGAUAAGGCCCAGACUCCUACGGGAGGCAGCAGUGGGGAAUAUUGCACCAUGGGAGCAAGCCUGAUGCAGAGACGCCGCGUGGGGGAUGACGGCCUUCGGGUUGUAAACUCCUUUCGCUAGGGACGAAGCUUUUUGUGACGGUACCUAGAUAAGAAGCACCGGCUAACUACGUG
rnacentral:rRNA from 1 species